UCCACACUAGACUAAUCAUAU
rnacentral:piRNA from 1 species